rnacentral:rRNA from 1 species
GAUGAACGCUGGCGGCGUGCCUAAUACAUGCAAGUCGAGCGAACGGACGAGAAGCUUGCUUCUCUGAUGUUAGCGGCGGACGGGUGAGUAACACGUGGAUAACCUACCUAUAAGACUGGGAUAACUUCGGGAAACCGGAGCUAAUACCGGAUAAUAUUUUGAACCGCAUGGUUCAAAAGUGAAAGACGGUCUUGCUGUCACUUAUAGAUGGAUCCGCGCUGCAUUAGCUAGUUGGUAAGGUAACGGCUUACCAAGGCAACGAUGCAUAGCCGACCUGAGAGGGUGAUCGCCCACACUGGAACUGAGACACGGUCCCGACUCCUACGGGAGGCAGCAGUAGGGAAUCUUCCGCGAUGGGCGAAAGCCUGACGGAGCAACGCCGCGUGAGUGAUGAAGGUCUUCGGAUCGUAAAACUCUGUUAUUAGGGAAGAACAUAUGUGUAAGUAACUGUGCACAUCUUGACGGUACCUAAUCAGAAAGCCACGGCUAACUACGUG